rnacentral:lncRNA from 1 species
AUGGCUGCGCGAAAACGUGCUCGCGUUGCCCUGAUUGCACCGUCCCUCCCGUGCGCAGCCUGCCGUCUGCUCACGCACGCAGCCUCCGUCCGCCGGGACAGCCCGCGCCCCGCUGCUCGGGGGCCGCCUGCACCGUCCCCGCGGCCCCGGCACCCCGGGGAACCCGGCCCUCGCUGCCCGGCUCUGUCCCACCUGAGCCGCAGCAGAGACGUCUCAGGGUGCCGGAUCCCAUCGGGCCAGGCCGGCGCCGGGGCACAGCUGACCCCGGCAAGGGGCGCAGCGCUCCCUCCGGCACCUGGGCACCCCGUCCGAGGCGGGUGGCGCUGGCAGCUGUCGGCAGGAGGGGAUUACCGAGGUUCGGAGCCGGUGGCCGUCUCCCCGCACAGCAGCGGCGGCAGCAGCAGCAGCAGCAGCCACCACAGCAUCGGAAUUAAUUACACAGCAAAGGCAAUCAGGAUGCUUUGCUCGUUAGCGCACUGGAGAGGAACGGGGAUGGCCAGCCAGCACUUUGCAAGGGAUGGGGAAAGGAGCGGCGGAGGGGGGGCCCCAGGCCUGCCCUGCACCAAGACGCUCGGGAGCCCGCAGGGCCGGGGUCUCCCCUCCGCCUGGGGCAGCCAGGCCUUGCAAAGGGGUCCGCAGCCCGUGCACGGGGAGCAGAGGCUGCUCCGGCAUCGCGCUGGACGGGGCUGGGUGCCUCCGCCGGGCUCAGCUGGCGCCAGCGCUGCAGGAGCGGAGCCUGAGGGUCCCCAGGCAGCACGGCCCGGUGCUCCCCGUGCGGGGGCUCGCUCCCGAGCCGGCCCCUCCACGUGUGCAAGCGCAUGCGGGGCACAGAGCGCACGACCCCGCGGGGAGCCGGGCCGCUCCGGGAGCCCGAGCAGGUGCAGCGGGGGCAGAUGCGCCCCACGGCUCCCGCCCCUGCCGCCCGCCCCGCCGGGAGAGCGCCGGCACGGGGCUGCCGCCGUGGGGCCGCACAGCCCCCUCUCCCCCCUGCCCAGGCCACAGCCCCUGCGGCCCUGCGCCACCCGGAUGCGCCCUGCCUGCCUGCCAGUCCCUUGA